CGGGUUGCACACCUGAGCUCAUCAUUCCCUCGCCAUGACACAGACAGGUAGGGCGUGCUGAGCCUGCCUGGCAGCGGCCCGGCCGAGCCCUGUCUGCUGUUGUGUAUGCCCCGCGCAGUGGACAGGCCUGGGCACCCAGCCGCUGGUCGCACGUUGAACAAGGAACUUGGCUUCUCUGAACCUCAGUCUUUCUCAUCUGGAAAAUGGAUUCCAGGCUCCCCAUUCCCUGGGAGGACGCGAAGGCUCCACAAUGCCAAGACCCUGGACUCACCCAAAAGCAGCAGCUUCAGCUCUGCGCGGUCCUGCUUCUUCUGCUCCAAGAGGAUCCUGUUGAUCUCCUGGUCCACCCGGGCGGCGGCCUUCUCAUCCUCCGUCAGGCACCAGGGGCAGCAGCGCCAGAUUUACAAUCGACUUUUUAAAUCCUAAAAAUCGGCCAGGAGUGGUGGCUCACGCCUGUAAUCCCAGCUUUGGGGGGGCUGAG